AGGGGGUCUAUAGGUGGUCUAUAGGUGGUCUAUAGGGGGUCUAUAGGGGGUCUAUAGGGGGUCUAUAGGGGGUCUAUAGGGGGUCUAUAGGGGGUCUAUAGGUGGUCUAUAGGGGGUCUAUAGGGGGUAGGGAUGGAGACUGGGACCAGUUCAGACUUUUAUUGCUCUUCCCGGUCACUGUCCAUGAUUCCAAUGGGAUUUGGGGCCAUUUCCACAUCCCCCCAACACAGCCAAUGGAGUCCAGCAGGGAGAGCACCGCAUCCUGUGCCCUAUAGGGUCUGAUGGAUGAAGGCAGCACAACCCUAUAGGAGCCCUUGGAGAAGCUCCAUAGGGAUUCCCCUACCUGUCCCCUAUAGGGUCUGAUGGAUGAAGGCAGCACAACCCUAUAGGAGCCCUUGGAGAUGCUCCAUAGGGAUUCCAGCGUCAUUCCCAACCGGAAGCUUCAUCCAGGACCUGGAAAAGGAGGACCUAUAGGUUAGUGCCUAUAGGGGGAAGUCUUUAAAGGGGCAGGACCCUAUAGGGGAGGUCUACAGGGGCUUGGAGCCUAUAGGGGGAGGUCUAUAGGGGCUUGGAGCCUAUAGCGGGAGGUCUAUAGGGGGUUAGUGGGGUGGGUUCCUAUAGGAUCUAGUCUGUACAAGUGGGUCUGAUACCUAUAGGAUAAAGGCUAUAGGGGGCUGGUCACUAUGGUGCCUAUAGGGGCUGGAUAUGGCCCCUAUAGGUGCUGAAGGGGCUGGGUAUGGUCCCUAUAGGGGCUGGAUAUGGUGCUUAUAGGGGCUAUAAGGGCUGGAUAUGAUCCCUAUAGGGGCUGGAUAUGAUCCCUAUAGCAUCUAUAGGGUCUGGUGCCAGUCUCUAUAGGGUCUGGUGCCGGCCCCUAUAGGCUCUAUAGGGGCUGGAUAUGGUCCCUAUAGGCUCUAUAGGGUCUGAUGCCGGCCCCAUGGGCUCCAUAGGGGCUUUAAGGACUGGAUAUGAUCCCUAUAGGGUCUAUUGCUGGCCCCUAUAGGCUCUAUAGGGGCUGUAGGGGCUGGAUAUGAUCCCUAUAGGCUCUAUAGGGCCUGGUGCCGGCCCCAUGGGCUCCAUAAGGGCUGUAGGGGCUGGUGUAUACCGGGGGCACCAUGGGCUGCCCCGGCCGUAGGUCACCCCCUCGCUCUGCCCCCAGCCCCACAGCGGCACACGGGGCAGCACCGCCUGCUUGGGGGGGGAAAGGGGCCUCCAUGGACCCUAUAGGGACCCUAUAGGUGCCCAUAGGGGCUCUAUAGGCACCCUCCUCCCGUGGCCUCACAGU
rnacentral:lncRNA from 14 species